UCUCAAGAAGUGUUUUCCGCUUCGGACCAUGCCUAAGUCCCUUGGAAAAGGGCAUCAUAGAGGGUGAUAAUCCCGUACAUGGCAUGGAGCGCCCGUAGCUUUGUGAUACGCUUUCUAAGAGUCGAGUUGUUUGGGAAUGCAGCUCAAAAUGGGUGGUAAAUGCCAUCUAAGGCUAAAUAUUGGGGAGAGACCGAUAGCGAACAAGUACAGUGAUGGAAAGAUGAAAAGAACUUUGAAAAGAGAGUUAAACAGUACGUGAAAUUGCCAAAAGGGAAGGGUAGGAGGUCAGAGAUGCGUCUUGGGAUUCAGCCUUGCUUUUGCCUGGUGUUUUUCCCAAGCUGCAGGCCAACGUCGGUUUUGGGCACUGGAGAAGGGUAGGAGGAACGUGGCACCUCUCGGGGUGUGUUAUAGCCUCCUACUGGAUACAGCGACCGAGACCGAGGAACGCAGCGUACUCGUAAGAGCGGGCCUUUUGGCACCUUUACGCUUAGGGCGUUGGCAUAAUGGCC
rnacentral:rRNA from 1 species